rnacentral:tRNA from 1 species
GGCUCAGUGGUGCAGCUGGUAAGCAUACUCGAUUUAUUGAACCAUUGAAGAAAAGCUUUUCGAGAGACGGAGGUUCAAAUCCUCUCUGGGCUA